rnacentral:tRNA from 1 species
UGCGUUAUAGCAUAAUUGGUAUUGCGGUUGUUUGCAAAACUUCUUAUAUAGGUUCAAAUCCUAUUAACGCAU